rnacentral:lncRNA from 1 species
UAACCCAAAAUGUCAUAUGAACUCAUACCUAACCAGUAGACCUACAAGUCAGAUUGCGGUCGGAGUCGGUUAUCAUGCACCUACUUCUACAGCCAUCUAUAGCCUUAACCUUCUUGAAAUCCCUUUUACUUUGAGCCUGAGCACAACAAGCCUCUACCACUCCUUCCCGACAUCUAAUAUUAAAUGAUAAAAUCCAAAUAUCUAACUUCUUUUCUUCUAGCUAACAUAAUUACUGAACUCCAGCACUAAUCCUUCAUCCAUGCACACUCUUGGCCUAUCCUAAUAUCCAAUGCACUCCAACAUUUAUAACAUUUCACAGAAUACAACUACACUUUUAGAAAUCCCUUCAUAGUUCAUAGCCUCUGUAGACGAAUGUACAUCAUCUUCUUCGCCAUCCUCACCCUUCAUCCUAGAAGAUACAAUCCUACUCAUACACCCAUCAUAUCCUAAUCCUCUUCUCCUAGUUAAUUCUUCACACGGGGGAUAAACCGAGUCUCAGAAAAGAGAUCAUUCUCUUCUUUCCUCCAGACUUUUUCACUCCGUUAAAAUUCUUAGAGCCUUUUCCCCCUCCAUUAAAAAAGGGAAGGAGAAAAAAAAAUUAAAAAGGAAACUUAGCACCAUUACAUAUAACACGUAUUUUCAGAACAUGAGGUU